CACCGCGGUUAAACGAGAGGCCCAAGUUGAUGGAUGCCGGCGUAAAGCGUGGUUAAAAAACAAAAAUACUAAGACCAAAUACUUUUAGCACUGUUAUACGUAUGCAAAAGCUAGAAGCCCAACUACGAAAGUGGUCUUACCUGCCCUGAACCCACGAAAGCUGCGAUA
rnacentral:rRNA from 1 species